AGUCGUAACAAGGUCUCCGUUGGUGAACCAGCGGAGGGAUCAUUACCGAGUUUACAACUCCCAAACCCCUGUGAACAUACCUUAUGUUGCCUCGGCGGAUCAGCCCGCGCCCCGUAAAAAGGGACGGCCCGCCGCAGGAACCCUAAACUCUGUUUUUAGUGGAACUUCUGAGUAUAAAAAACAAAUAAAUCAAAACUUUCAACAACGGAUCUCUUGGUUCUGGCAUCGAUGAAGAACGCAGCAAAAUGCGAUAAGUAAUGUGAAUUGCAGAAUUCAGUGAAUCAUCGAAUCUUUGAACGCACAUUGCGCCCGCCAGUAUUCUGGCGGGCAUGCCUGUUCGAGCGUCAUUUCAACCCUCAAGCCCAGCUUGGUGUUGGGAGCUGCAGUCCUGCUGCACUCCCCAAAUACAUUGGCGGUCACGUCGAGCUUCCAUAGCGUAGUAAUUUACACAUCGUUACUGGUAAUCGUCGCGGCCACGCCGUUAAACCCCAACUUCUGAAUGUUGACCUCGGAUCAGGUAGGAAUACCCGCUGAACCUAAGCAUAUCA
rnacentral:misc_RNA from 1 species